AACGGCCAUACCAUGCUGAAUAUACCAUACCAUGCUGUACUCGUUAGAUCACCUAAGUCAAGCAUCAUUGGGCGUUGUCAGUACUUGGGUGGGUGAACACCUGGGAACACCGCGUGCCGUU